UACGUAGGUGGCAAGCGUUGUCCGGAAUUAUUGGGCGUAAAGCGCGCGCAGGCGGUCCUUUAAGUCUGAUGUGAAAGCCCACGGCUCAACCGUGGAGGGUCAUUGGAAACUGGGGGACUUGAGUACAGAAGAGAAGAGUGGAAUUCCACGUGUAGCGGUGAAAUGCGUAGAGAUGUGGAGGAACACCAGUGGCGAAGGCGCGUCUUGG
rnacentral:rRNA from 1 species